rnacentral:rRNA from 2 species
UUAAGCGACUAAGCGUACACGGUGGAUGCCCUGGCAGUCAGAGGCGAUGAAGGACGUGCUAAUCUGCGAAAAGCGCCGGCGAGGUGAUAUGAACCUUUGACCCGGCGAUGUCCGAAUGGGGAAACCCAGUGCAAUUCGUUGCACUAUCGUUAACUGAAUACAUAGGUUAACGAGGCGAACCGGGGGAACUGAAACAUCUAAGUACCCCGAGGAAAAGAAAUCAACCGAGAUUCCCCCAGUAGCGGCGAGCGAACGGGGAGCAGCCCGGAGUCUGAAUCAGCUUGUGUGUUAGUGGAACGGUCUGGAAAGUCCGACGGUACAGGGUGAUAGUCCCGUACACGAAAGCACACAUGCUGUGAACUCGAAGAGUAGGGCGGGACACGUGGUAUCCUGUCUGAAUAUGGGGGGACCAUCCUCCAAGGCUAAAUACUCCUGACUGACCGAUAGUGAACCAGUACCGUGAGGGAAAGGCGAAAAGAACCCCGGCGAGGGGAGUGAAAAAGAACCUGAAACCGUGUACGUACAAGCAGUGGGAGCCUCUUUAUGGGGUGACUGCGUACCUUUUGUAUAAUGGGUCAGCGACUUAUAUUCUGUAGCAAGGUUAACCGUAUAGGGGAGCCGAAGGGAAACCGAGUCUUAACUGGGCGUUAAGUUGCAGGGUAUAGACCCGAAACCCGGUGAUCUAGCCAUGGGCAGGUUGAAGGUUGGGUAACACUAACUGGAGGACCGAACCGACUAAUGUUGAAAAAUUAGCGGAUGACCUGUGGCUGGGGGUGAAAGGCCAAUCAAACCGGGAGAUAGCUGGUUCUCCCCGAAAGCUAUUUAGGUAGCGCCUCGUGAACUCAUCUUCGGGGGUAGAGCACUGUUUCGGCUAGGGGGCCAUCCCGGCUUACCAACCCGAUGCAAACUACGAAUACCGAAGAAUGUUAUCACGGGAGACACACGGCGGGUGCUAACGUCCGUCGUGAAGAGGGAAACAACCCAGACCGCCAGCUAAGGUCCCAAAGUCAUGGUUAAGUGGGAAACGAUGUGGGAAGGCACAGACAGCCAGGAUGUUGGCUUAGAAGCAGCCAUCAUUUAAAGAAAGCGUAAUAGCUCACUGGUCGAGUCGGCCUGCGCGGAAGAUGUAACGGGGCUAAACCAUGCACCGAAGCUGCGGCAGCGACACUAUGUGUUGUUGGGUAGGGGAGCGUUCUGUAAGCCGUUGAAGGUGUGCUGUGAGGCAUGCUGGAGGUAUCAGAAGUGCGAAUGCUGACAUAAGUAACGAUAAAGCGGGUGAAAAGCCCGCUCGCCGGAAGACCAAGGGUUCCUGUCCAACGUUAAUCGGGGCAGGGUGAGUCGACCCCUAAGGCGAGGCCGAAAGGCGUAGUCGAUGGGAAACAGGUUAAUAUUCCUGUACUUGGUGUUACUGCGAAGGGGGGACGGAGAAGGCUAUGUCAGCCGGGCGACGGUUGUCCCGGUUUAAGCAUGUAGGCGGAGGUUCCAGGUAAAUCCGGUACCUUUUAACGCUGAGGUGUGAUGACGAGGCACUACGGUGCUGAAGUGAUAAAUGCCCUGCUUCCAGGAAAAGCCUCUAAGCAUCAGGUAACACGAAAUCGUACCCCAAACCGACACAGGUGGUCAGGUAGAGAAUACCAAGGCGCUUGAGAGAACUCGGGUGAAGGAACUAGGCAAAAUGGUGCCGUAACUUCGGGAGAAGGCACGCUGAUGUGUAGGUGAAGCCCCUGCGGGCGGAGCUGAAAUCAGUCGAAGAUACCAGCUGGCUGCAACUGUUUAUUAAAAACACAGCACUGUGCAAACACGAAAGUGGACGUAUACGGUGUGACGCCUGCCCGGUGCCGGAAGGUUAAUUGAUGGGGUUAGCGGCAACGCGAAGCUCUUGAUCGAAGCCCCGGUAAACGGCGGCCGUAACUAUAACGGUCCUAAGGUAGCGAAAUUCCUUGUCGGGUAAGUUCCGACCUGCACGAAUGGCGUAAUGAUGGCCAGGCUGUCUCCACCCGAGACUCAGUGAAAUUGAACUCGCUGUGAAGAUGCAGUGUACCCGCGGCAAGACGGAAAGACCCCGUGAACCUUUACUAUAGCUUGACACUGAACACUGGUCCUUGAUGUGUAGGAUAGGUGGGAGGCUUUGAAGCGUGGACGCCAGUCUGCGUGGAGCCAACCUUGAAAUACCACCCUUUAAUGGCUGGUGUUCUAACGUAGACCCGUAAUCCGGGUUGCGGACAGUGUCUGGUGGGUAGUUUGACUGGGGCGGUCUCCUCCCAAAGAGUAACGGAGGAGCACGAAGGUUGGCUAAUCCUGGUCGGACAUCAGGAGGUUAGUGCAAUGGCAUAAGCCAGCUUGACUGCGAGCGUGACGGCGCGAGCAGGUGCGAAAGCAGGUCAUAGUGAUCCGGUGGUUCUGAAUGGAAGGGCCAUCGCUCAACGGAUAAAAGGUACUCCGGGGAUAACAGGCUGAUACCGCCCAAGAGUUCAUAUCGACGGCGGUGUUUGGCACCUCGAUGUCGGCUCAUCACAUCCUGGGGCUGAAGUAGGUCCCAAGGGUAUGGCUGUUCGCCAUUUAAAGUGGUACGCGAGCUGGGUUUAGAACGUCGUGAGACAGUUCGGUCCCUAUCUGCCGUGGGCGCUGGAGAAUUGAGGGGGGCUGCUCCUAGUACGAGAGGACCGGAGUGGACGCAUCACUGGUGUUCGGGUUGUCAUGCCAAUGGCACUGCCCGGUAGCUAAAUGCGGAAGAGAUAAGUGCUGAAAGCAUCUAAGCACGAAACUUGCCCCGAGAUGAGUUCUCCCUGAGACUUUAAGUCUCCUGAAGGAACGUUGAAGACGACGACGUUGAUAGGUCGGGUGUGUAAGCGCAGCGAUGCGUUGAGCUAACCGAUACUAAUGAACCGUGAGGCUUAACCUU